AAGUCUCUUUAGGAGAACGUAUGGUUAUGAACGGUUCUACGCCCAAAGUGUUUUCGUCCAUUGUUUGAACUUUGUAAAUUAACAUACAAUUAGUCAUACUUAUCAACAUAAUUACAGAAUUCCGCACAUGCUGGUUGUGGUAAAUAUUCCUAAAUACCAGAAGGCUGUAUAAUACUGUCGGCUGCUGUAUUUAUAGAAGUUUUCUCACAAAAAUACAAGUUAUCGUAUUCACUUUCAUUUGGCAUUCUUCAGGCAUUUACGGAAACAAUGGAAAAGCUAGCGCUAACCGCUGUAGUUCUCAUUCUGCUGAUGGCGCUGCAUUUGACGACUGCCUCGGUGCAGUCGUGCUGUAACAGGUGCAGUCGUAAAAACAAGGCAUGCAAGCCCAUCGGGAACACGUGCCGUUGCGUCGAGAGAGAUAACGUCAUCGCUAAACAAUUUCCGGACGCUUCCUCGCGUUCAGCAGACGACAUACCAGAAGCUGAAAUAAGACGCAGGAUCCACGGUCAUGUCUUGGGAAACAUCUAAGUUGACAAUCGCUUUACGCGUUUAGUUCCUGCACACAACUGGAAAACAACCAGUGCUUUGCAACAUGAUUUUGUAUUGAAUGGAAGCAUAAAGUAUGCCAUUACUGUUCAUCGCUUGCCAGCGAUCGUUUAUAAACAUGCAAAUACUAUGAAAUGGAUUACUUAAUAAAACACAUUUUCCCAA